rnacentral:ncRNA from 1 species
GGGCAGUUUGGAAUUCUUCAUAAUUGAGUAACUAGGAGGCCACUACUGAGAAUAAGAAGUUUAAGCCUUAUGAGAUACUUAUAAAUCACAGAGUAAGAAUUUUCCCGGUUCAAAUUUCCAGUCAACUCAUGAUACAGAGAAACCAUAGAUUCGAUGGAUGGUGGUGCAUGGCCGUUCUUAGUUGGUGGAGCGAUUUGUCUGGUUAAUUCCGAUAACGAACGAGACUUUAACCUGCUAAAUAGUAGACUGGUCCUCUGUGCUCGUUUAGGGCGCGGCUUCUAUUGCUUCUUUAUGGAGUAGUGUGGUCGUGAUUCGGCGGGUGCGGUGCCAGUUUUUACUUCUUAGAGGGACAAGCGGCACACUUAAGUCGCACGAAAUUGAGCAAUAACAGGUCUGUGAUGCCCUUAGAUGUCCGGAGCCACACGUGCGCUACAAUGAUGGUGCCAGCGAGUCUGGAAACCUGGCCCGAAAGGGUUGCGCAAACUGUUUCAUCACCGUCGUGACUGGGAUCGGGGCUUGCAAUUAUUCCCCGUGAACGAGGAAUUCCUGGUAAGUGCAAGUCAUAAGCUUGCGCUGAUUACGUCCCUGCCCUUUGUACACACCGCCCGUCGCUACUACCGAUUGAAUGGUUUAGUGAGGUCGUUGGAUUGGUGUCGUUGUAGUGGCGUUGCCGCUCGACUGAUGCUGAGAAGAUGACCUAAUUUGACUAUUUAGAGGAAGUAAAAGUCGUAACAAGGUUUCCGUAGGUGAACCUGCGGAAGGAUCAUUAACAUAACCCAAAAAUAUAUAAUAAUGCAUGCACCUGGCUUCGUGCUGGGCUGUAUGUACCCUGGCUCGGUGGUUAUUACCCUGGGCUCCAGUGGUUGAAUAUGGCAUGCACCUGGCUUCGUGCUGGGCUGUAUGUACCCUGGCUUGGUGGUUAUUACCUCAGGCUCCAGUGGUUAUUAUUUUCUUGACCGGGGUACCUAGCCUGUCGUAUGCCCUGAUGGUGUUCUCGUAACUUUCGGGUUGCCUGAUCUGCCAAGGGCGAUGGGACAGUGCAUGAUAUUGUUGUGUGCUAGGUUCAAAGAGAAUUGUAUGCUAUAUGCAUGCAAAUCCGCCCCGUUAUUGUUCCUAUUUCAAACUUUUACACUGUUGAAGCGAUCCGGUUUGGCUUGCCAUUCACGGGUUUGCUGCCUGGCAUGCACCUGGCUUCGUGCUGGACUGCAUGUACGCUGGCCUAGCGGUAAAUAUCCUGGGCUGCAGCGUUAACCAUUAGUUCUAUGCAUUUGGGAAACCAAUGUAUGGGAUUAUUGGCGUACAACUUUGAGCGGUGGAUCACUCGGCUCGUG